GCUGUGGAACUCCUACGGGAGGCAGCAGUGGGGAAUUUUGGACAAUGGGGGCAACCCUGAUCCAGCAAUGCUGCGUGAGUGAAGAAGGUCUUCGGGUUGUAAAGCUCUUUUGUCAGGGAAGAAACGGUAGUAGCUAAUAUCUAUUACUAAUGACGGUACCUGAAGAAUAAGCACCGGCUAACUACGUGCCAGCAGCCGCGGUAAUACGUAGGGUGCAAGCGUUAAUCGGAAUUACUGGGCGUAAAGCGUGCGCAGGCGGUUGUGUAAGUCAGAUGUGAAAUCCCCGGGCUCAACCUGGGAAAGGCAUUUGAGACUGCACGGCUAUAGUGUGUCAGAGGGGGGUAGAAUUCCACGUGUAGCAGUGAAAUUCGUAGAUAUGUGGAGGAAUACCGAUGGCGAAGGCAGCCCCCUGGGAUAACACUCACGCUCAUGCACUAAAGCGUGGGGAGCAAACAGAAUUAUAGACCCUAGUAGUCCUACCACGU
rnacentral:rRNA from 1 species